CCUCGGGGAGAAUGUAUUUGUCUUAGUUUGAGCUGCUCCCCAGGGCUGGGAGCUGGGGUGGUUGGUCCCAGGAGAGUUUCCCGCUGAGAGACCAAUCGCAGCUGUUCUUUUUCACUCCUUUGAAAUUAGAUAUUCACAACAGCCGGCAGUCAUUGGCAGUUUUAGUUGUGUGUGAGAGCGUGUGUGUGUGAGAGAGAAGCUGGAGGGGUUAUGGGGGCCCCCCAUAACCCAGGGGGGGCCCCUGUGCCCCCACGGCCCUGGCUCGGCCAGGGCUGGAGGCAGCGUGUAGGAGUAUGUGUGAGUUGUGAGGGAGACUCCCUCUUUCCCCCCCCAGCUAGACUGCAGGGCUUGGGACAGUUUGAACUGAACUGAGAACCCUGUGACCAAGGCGAGGGAGCUUUCUUUUUCUUCGCCCCCCCGCCUGGGAAGGCGGUCGUGUGGAUUCAGGGCAUGCUUGGCAUUGGAGCCAAGCCAAGAGAUGGGCCAGAGGGGUCUGGAGCCUGGAGAAGUGGCUGGGAUAUAUGGAAAAGCUGGAAGAACUCCAGGCUGAAGGAAUUGGAGAUGGGCCAGAGGGGCUGGGAGGUGCCAUAUGUUGGGUUUGGACCUGGGCUACUGAAACUGAAAACUGCAGCAGCUAAGGAAGAGCAAGAGAGCCAAACCAGCAGGUUUUUCUGAGAGGAAAGCUUCAUGAAACCAAGGAGGAAGGACUCAGAGCUGACUCCCUGGACCUUUUUGUGAUGAAGACCUGGUGAAGUGAGUGUUUCCCUGGCAGCCCAGGAUGAGACCUCAGCAGGAGCUGAGGGCUGGUGGGGGUGCAAGAGAACCCAUUUCCCUGAUACCCCAAUGAGAGAGAGACUUUUUCACUAUCGCCCUGAAGACAACUUCAGAACUGAUGUAGGAGUGUUCAAGGGGAGCUGUGUUAAUAUUAUAUAUUUUUAGUUUGUAUAGUAUUUAUUGGGUAAUAAUAAAUUGUAUGUAAUUCCCUUCCCA